rnacentral:rRNA from 1 species
GCAAGUCGAACGAACCCUUCGGGGUGAGUGGCGCACGGGUUCGUAACGCGUGGGAACCUGCCUUAAGGUGCGGAAUAACAGUUAGAAAUGACUGCUAAUACCGAAUAAUGUCUUCGGACCAAAGAUUUAUCGACUUUAGAUGGGCCCGCGUUGGAUUAGCUAGUUGGUGAGGUAACUGCUCACCAAGGCGACGAUCUAUAGCUGGUCUGAGAGGACGAUC